rnacentral:lncRNA from 1 species
UUUUUUUCUUUAUUUUUGUUUUGCUUUUUAGGGCUGCAGUCACAGCAUAUGGAGGUUCCCAGUCUAGGGGUCUAAUCAGAGCCACAGCUGCCAGCCACAGCCACAGCAACACCAGAUCUUAGCUGUGUCUGGGACUUAUACUACAGUUCACAGCAACAAGGGGUCCUUAACCCACUGAGCAAGGCCAGGGAUUGAACCUGAAACCUCAUGGAUCCUAGUUGGACUUGUUUCUACUGAACCACAAUGGGAACUCCUAGUUGGAAAUAUUUUAUACAAAAAAGUCUUUCUUAACAACUCUUUGGCUACCUGAAAAUAAAAUUUUUACAAGAAAGGCAGAAUGAAUGUUUUAUUCUCCCUCUUUGUUUACCAAUUGCCACUAAUGUGUAAUUUAGCAACUUCCUAGAGCAAUUUCUAAGUUAAUUGUAAGUUCUUUCUUUUCUUAGUAUCACUAUAACUUGUGGAUGUUAACAUCACUGAUGAAAUAAAUGAUUUAGAAUAUGUUCUGUAGGCAAUGGUGAACCAGCAAAGGCCAUCCUCAACGUUCAAACAUAAAGCACAUCUGCAAAUGUAUCUAGAAAUCAAACAAUAAAUUUACUCAUUUUAGGAGGAAUCCUUUCCCACAAAGCUAAAGCAAAAGCAAAAUAUCUAAACACAGCUAAAUUUUUAGCUUGAACAAGGAAAACUUCCAGGAUUCUGUACUUGUUCUCUGAUUCUCUUCUUUCCUUUACUCACUUUGCUGGCCUUCGUCUCAUGAAUGAAUGUCUGGUUGAGGCUAGAGAUGCAGUGCCUCGGGCACACCUAAGGAUUUCAUCUUAUGUAAAUUACAUUUAUAAAAUCUACAUUUCCUGUAACUAGUAUUUGCACUUUCAUUUUUAUAAAAUAAGAGCAAGUAAAUUUUCGAAAUAUAGAACACUGCUCUAAUAAGUUAAAACUAUUGUGUGGAUGAUGGAGAUGAGGCUGAUGAAGCACUGACCAGCAGUGGGAGAGUCCAACAGGAUUGUCAGCGGAUGUACCAAGGCCAGAAUUGAAUCUGCAAAAGGAGGGUUGGGUGUUUUGAUAGGGAAUGCAUGAAAUUGUUUGUUUGUUUGUUGAAAAAACUUUGUUUCCAUUUGGUCCAAGGCUGGGGAGAGGGCUCCAGGGUGGUUAAAAAGUGACUACUGGCUGCAGGAAGGGGCUUUAGGCAGAAACUCUCACACCAGAGGGGCUCCUCAAAGGCCGCUGGGCUCCAGAGGCUCCUAGUCCUGCUUGAGGGUGAGCCUUUCCAAGAGAUACUCAUCCAGCUCAGCCUGGGGACCAGCCAUCCUGCAGAAGUUGGUCAAGUGGUCUCCGAUCUUUGCCUGCUCCUCUAGGACGUGGCUCUCCAGGAGGUCACAGAGGUGGGGGGUCUGCUCAGGCAGAACCCUGGGCAUGUGGAUCCAAAAGGGCAUGGUUCGGGUUCCCUUCCAGGACCAUGGCAGCUAAACCCCAUAGCAUCCUGGGUUUUACCCCACACAUCCUGAGAUGGCUUCUUUCUGGAAGAGGAUGGAGCUGCCUUGCUGGUUUUGCAUUUUUAAGAGGUGCUUGGUGCCCUUGCACUUCUCCUUGGCCAAUUCUCCAUAAAAAAAAAGUGGCCCACACCCUCUAGAGCUACAUUGUUGCGGUUGAAAUAGCCAGAGAGAGGCAGGUGUGGGAGGCCCCCUGAUGGAGGCUGACCAGGCGGCUGAGAGUGGCCUCCACCUGGCAAGAAUAAUUCUGACGCAUCUGGAAGCCCAGAGUUGAUCCAUAAUAAUGAGUUAAGCUCCGAAAAUGAUGUUAGCUGGUCACAGAGGCCGAGGAUAGCUGAGUGACUACCUCUGAAAGUUUCGAUUGGAAAAAAGUUUGGAGGGUGGUCAGAGGCUGGAGGAAGGGGUCUACCUGGGUCUGUUCCAUUGAAACACUGUUGAAGCGAGGGACACCUGUGGGACUGCCGAGCGCACUGCCUGAUGGGGAAUGCAUGAAACUGUUCUCGGCUGUGACAUGCUGGUUUUGCUGUCAGCUUAUCCUUCUAUCUCUACUAGAAGGUUGGUUAGUUAGUUAGUUCCAGGAAGGCAGGAGCCAUACAUGUAUUGUUCAUUUACUCGCAAGCAUCCAGGACCUGUUUGUUUGUUUGUUUGUUUUUAAAGAAAGAACAAGUGAUGUAUGCCAAGCAAGAGAAAAAUCUACAGUGUCUUUCAUCAGCAAGAAUUAUAAUUAGCUCUAUUUUUUAGGUGUAUCUGUUGCACAUUUUGAUUCUGGUGUAUUGGUAUUAUAAACCACUUUUUCUUUAAAAAUUAAUUUAUCUGAGACAGAGGUAAUACUUUUCAUUUAGGAGUAUUUUGAAAAGCAAACAAAUUAAAUCAAACUAUCGAUUAUUCUAUUCCUUAAGGUUAACAUUUGGGUGUUUCUUCCUGUAAUUCUCUAUGUACAUAAUGAACGGUAUUGGAAUUAUCUAGGACAUAUUGUUUAGUAACCCCUUUUAAAAGUUUAAAUACGCUGGGAGUUCCCAUUGUGGCUCAUCAGGUUACUAACCCAACUAGUAUCCACGAGGAUGCAAAUUUGAUCCCUGGCCUUGCCCAGUGGGCUAAGUAUCUGUGGUGAGCUGUGGUGCAGUUUGAAGAUGCAGCUCAGAUAUGGCAUUGCUGUGGUUGUGGUGUAGGCCAGCAGCUGCAGCUCUGAUUCGACCUGUAGCCUGGGAACUUCCAUAUGCCACAAGUACAGCCCUAAAAGGAAAAAAAAUAAAUAAAUACAUGGUUAAUUAUUCUCCUGUGUCACCUUCUCCCACAGCAGAAAUUCUUUUGUUUGUUCUUUUAAUUUUUUAUUAUAGUCAGUUUACAAUGUUGUGCCAAUUUCUGCUGUACAGUAAAGUAACUAAGCCAUACAUAUAUUUACAUUCUUUUUUAAAUAUUCUUUCCAUCAUAGUCUAUCCCAGGAGAUUCGACACAGUUUCCCUUGCUAUACAGUAGGACCUUAUUGUCCAUCCAUUCUAAAUGUAAUAGUUUGCAUCUACUAACCCCAAACUCCCUCCCCAUUCCACUCCCUCCUCCCUCUCCCUUGGCAACCACAAGUCUGUUCUCCAUGUCUGUGAGUCUUUCUGUUUUGUAGAUAGGUUCAUGUGUGCCACAUUUUAGAUUGCACAUGUAAGUGAUACCAUAUGGUAUCUGUCUUUCUCCUUUGAACUUACUUCAAUUAGUAUGAGAAUCUCUAGUUGCAUUCUAAAAAUUUUAAGAGUAACAGGACCCAAAUCCAAUUUCCAAACAUGAAAUUCUGAUGAACAGGACCACAGAGCAGUAAUUCUGAUCUGAAUUGUGCUUAUUAAUACAAGCAGGCUAUUCCAUGGCACACACAGGUUCAAGAUGGGAGAUUAAGUUCAACAGCCAUUCAUUUAGAUUUGGUUUGAUUUUCUGCCAGUCUUAUGACUGACUUAAAACAGGUCCUAGGACAGAGAAUUUUUUGUUUGGUCGAGGGAAGCAGCAAAAUAGAGGAGCCACCCCAAAUUCCAGAUGAACAGAUAGAGUCAACAUUCUCUUUACACCAAAGUUACCCAUUUACUGCAGCAAAAUUUGAACCAAAAUGUUUAAAAUGCCACCUAAGUUAGGUCAAACAUCCUCUGUGGAAAGUAACCUGUUAGUAUAGAAAGGAAUGGAAAUGGUAAAGCUGAAAAGAAGCUGAAAACAAAAGACCUAUCAAUAGAUACAUUUUGCUUCCAAGACUCUACACUGCGUACAUGUCCUUAUUCAUCAUCCUCAGAAGAUGAAUUGAAGCUGAUUCAGUGUCACUUGCUUCUGCAGUAGUUUCCCAGGCAUCUUAGCUAGGAGACACCCUGCCCCCAGGGUAUUGAGGGCAAAUAAAUAUUUCAAGCCGACUGACAAUAGGAAAGAAUUGUAGGACAAGAAACUACCUGCAAUCCCUAGGUGGGAGUAUCCUGGAAAGUGACGUGCUGAAAUACCGACCCUUCCAGCUGGUUAACUCUGAGAUUCAAGCAUUUGCUUUAGUGAUAUGCACUCAUCAAGGGAAUAUAUAACAGCUUAAGGAUUCAAGGAUUUCACCUGCAGAAUUGGAAGAGAUUCAAAGUGAGUGCCAGGCAUUACUGACUUUAAAAAGCUUAAGGAAAGAACAAUGCUUAGGCCUUUUGAGUCAUUAGGUGUAGUAUAUAUGUGUUGUUUUUUGACCAUUGGUAUUCAUUUCCUAUUUUGGUGACAGUGACCCAUUUUUUUUUUUUUUCUUCUGGGGAACCACUCCUACAGGUGAACCAGAGGUGAAGCAUCCAACUCAUAUUUGGCCAGUGACAGCAAAGAAUGUUCCUAGUUCAGUAAUGCAUUAAGGGAUGGGCAGGUAACCGUGCUGGUUCAGUUAAUGAAUCCAGGACUACUGGGAAGGAUCUCUUUCUUGCUGGACUGGGACUGGAUUGGAUGUACACUUGAGGUUGUUGAGAACCGUAUUGCUAUCACAUGAAGUCUGAGUAUAAAGCUGAUAAGAAGAGCUGAGCCUUCUCCCCCCCUCAACCCCCACAAAAGGCUCUCUCUUUUAUUUGUCUGACCUGAAGUAGGCAUGAAAGGCAAUGCACUGAAAAUUCUAAUUCGACCCUUAUUUUUGUAGGAUGACUACAAGUGUCUAAAUUAAGUAUUUAUAAGGAAGUUGAUGCUUUAUGAUAACAGCAACAAGGUCUACAUUUGAAUAAUUUAUUAUAUGAGCAUUGUAAAAGUUCUUCUAUGGCACUGUAGAGUAAAUAAAAUAAAUCUUUUCUCAAGAAAUGUAUAAUCUACUUAGACAAGACCAGCAUUAAAAAACAAAACCUUUUAGGAGUUCUUGCUAUGGCACAACAAGAUCAGUGCUGUCUCUGUAGCACUGGGAUGUAAGUUCAAUCCCCAGCCCAGCACAGUGGGUUAAGGAUCAGGCACUGGUGUAGCUGCGGCAUAGGUCACAACUGUGGCUCAGACCUGAUUGCUGGCCCAGGAACUCCAUAUGCUGUGGGGUGGCCAAAAACAAACAACCAAAAAGAAAAACCCUUUAGACUGCAAGUGAAUUGCAGACAGUAAUGCAUGUAAAUAUUCUGAAUGGCAAUAUAAAGUACAAACAAAACUAGAACAAAGCAUGAGAAAGAAGCUUUAGACUAAACUCCAAGUAUUUCCAUUUAAUUCACAAGGCAUUGAUCUUUGUAUCCUAGUCUUUUUCUUUUUUUUUUUUUUUUUUUUUUUUUUUGGUCUUUUUAGGGCCGCACCUGAGGCAUAUGGUGGUUCCCAGGCUAGGGGUCUAAUUGGAGCUGUAGCCUUCAGCCUUCGCCACAGCCACAACAACUCAAGAUCCAAGCCAAGUCUGCAACCAAUACCAAAGAUCACAGCAACACUGGAGACUUAACCCACUGAGCAAGGCCAGGGAUUGAACCUGCCUCCUCAUGGAUGCUAGUCAGAUUCGUUUCCACUGAGUCAUAACAGGAACUCCUGUAUCGUAGUAUUUAAGUGGAUUCCUAGAAUUGUAUUUCCUACAUGGAUGCUUCCUGUGAAUUACUGACUUGAAUAGUCAAUUGCCUAUUUGAUAUAUCCAUUUAUCAAAUUCAAAAGACAUCACAAAUUUAUCUUGUCCAAAAAGCCUUCUGCUCCAAACUUGUUUGUAGACACUGCCUUCCACAUUUCAGUAGAUGGCAACCCCAUCCUUCCAGUUGCUCAGAUCUAAAACUUUAAGCAGUAUCUCUUUUCUUAUACCUGUAAGAAAAUCUUACUGGCUCUAUGUUCAAAAUUUAUUUGGAAUUUAACAACUUCUUACCACCUCCACUACUAUCUAAAUUAUUACAAUACUGGUCUUCCUUAUCUUCUACCUCCUAAAAUCUAUUUACAAACCAGCAGCUGAAGCAGUCUUCUCAUUUUAUUGGGAAAAAUCUAAAACAUAUAGAAAAAUUGAAAGAUUUUACAGUGAUCCGUCUGUAUACUCACUACCUAGAAUCUACCAUUUCUAAGAUAACAAAUCUUAUAGCUCCUCUGCUCAAAAUGCCUCAAUGCCUUGCCUCAUUCAAAGAAGAAAAGCCAGGAGUUCCUGUUGUGGCUCAGCAGAAAAGAAUCUGACUAGUAACUGUGAGGUUGCAGGUUCAAUCCUUGGCCUCACUCAGUGGGUUAAGGUUCUGGCAUUGCCAUGAACUAUGGUGUAGGUCAUAGAUGCAGCUCAGAUCCUGCCUUGGCAUAGGCUGGCAGGGAUAGCUCUGAUUUGACCCCUAGCCUGGGAGCCUCCAUAAGAGAGAGAGAAGAAAAGCCAAUUUCUUACCAUGGUCUCCAAGACCCAGCAUGCUGUGGUCCCUACAACCAUCCUUCCCUCUCGUCCAUUACUUUUCAGUCAUACUGGCCUCCUAAUGAGGCCAUCAAAUGCAGCGAGUAUUCUUGCUUUAGGACUUUUGCACCUGCUUUCUCUUCACUUGGGAUUCUCUUCACCUUCCACCACAAAUUUGCAUGGCUUGCCUCUUUCUUUGGAUCACCUUAUCAGAGGUUUUCUCUAACUCUUCCAAGUAUUAAAUUGAAUAAUGUAACUCUAAUGUCAUCCUACCAGGCUGUAAACCAUAAACUUAAUAUCAUUCUGAGGUUUUAAAAAUAUAUACAAAAGAUCAGUAAUUUCACAUGGUUCAAGCUAAUGAAUGAGCAGAAGCACCCUACCAUUUUAUUUUUACCUGAUUUCCAAUAUGCAUAAUAGCACUUCUCACCAUCUUAUGUACUGUUUGUAUAUUGUCUGUAAGAUCUCAAAGGGGAGUUCUCUUGUGGCACAGCGGGUUAAGGAUCCAGCAUUAUCACUGCUAUGGCUUGGGUCAUUGUUGCGGCUCAGGUUCCAUCCCUGGCUUGGGACCUUCCACAUGCCAUGGGCAUGGCCAAACCCCCCUCCCCGCAAAAAACAAAAACAACUCCUCAGAGAGAAAGAGUCCAUAUUUUGUCCACUGCUGUGUAUUCAGUGUAAAACAAGUACUUUGCCCAUGGUUGGCACUCAUUUAUUUAGAAAAUGAAUUCUUUUGGAGUUCCCAUUGUGGUGCAGUGGUUAACGAAUCUGACUAGGAACCAUGAGGUUGCAGGUUCUAUCCCUGGCCUUGCUCAGUGGGUUAAGGAUCCGGUGUUGCCAUGAGCUGUGGUGUAGGUUGCAGACGUGGCUCAGAUCCUGCAUUGCUGUGGCUCUAGUGUAGGCAGGUGGCUACAGCUCCAAUUCGACCCCUAGCCUGGGAAUCUCCAUAUGCUGCAGGAGCGGCCCUAGAAAAGUCAAAAAGCCAAAAAAAAAAAAAAAAAAAAAAAAAAAAAGAAAGAAAGAAAGAAAGAAAAGAAAAUGAGAUGAGUUCUUUUUUCUUUUUUGGAUUUACCUGAGUUAUACAGAAGUUCCUGGGCUGGGGAUCCUGGUGCCAGAUCCUUAACUGCUGAGCCACCAGGGAACUCCUAAAGAUUGAUUUCUUUACACUUAUGUCAGAGUGAGCCUUUAAAAACAGAGUCUGGGGAGUUCCUGCUGUGGCACAGCGGGUUACAAACCUGACUAGUAUCCAUGAGGUUGCAGGAUCAAUCCCUGGCCUCACACAGUGGGUUAAGGAUCUGGUAUUACCAUAAGCUGUGGCGUAGGUUGAAGACACAGCUUGGAUCCCACAUUGCUGCGGCUAUGCUGUAGGCUGGCAGCUGCAGCUUCGAUUCAACCCCUAGCCUGGGAACUUCAUAUGUCGAAGGUGCAGCCAUAAAAUACAAAAACAAAACAAAAACAACAACAACAACAACAAAAAUAGAAUCUGAUCAUGUCACUCCUACUACAAACCCUUCAAUUCAUUUGUAUUGCUUUCAAAAGAUAAGAAUUCUUACUAAUAGGGAUCCUGCUGUGGUGCAGUGAGUUAAAGAUUGGUCAUUGUCACUACAGUAGCUCAGGUUUCUGCUGUGGUGCAGGCUUGAUCCCUGGCCUAGGAACUUCCGCAUGCUGAGAAUGUGGCAAAAAAAAGAAAAAAAA